UCAGAACAAUGAUUGGAUAGAUUCUGAUAGCUUUUAUUUGAAUAAAAAACGAGGAACACUAGGAA
rnacentral:tRNA from 1 species